GAAGUUCGCCAGGCAGUCGCUGCGCACCUCGUCGUGCGUGGAGGAAAGUCCGGGCCCCGCAGAGCAGGAUGCCGGCUAACGGCCGGGCGCCGUGAGACGACGGAAAGUGCAACAGAGAGCAGACCGCCGAUGGCUCGGACGGUGCCGCCGCAAGGUGGCGAAGUCCAUAUUGAAGAGUUCGCUCUUCAGUGGAGAUCAGGCAAGGGUGAAACGGUGAGGUAAGAGCUCACCGCAGGACUGGCAACAGGACUGGCACGGCAAACCCCAUCCGGGGCAAGGCCAAAUAGGGGAGCAUUGGCGUGGCUCGCGUCGCUCCCGGGUAGGCUGCUAGAGCUUCACGGUAACGUGUCGCCCAGAGGAAUGACUGCCCGAUGUCGCCGGUUCGCCGGCGGCGUUCGACAGAACCCGGCUUAUCGGCGAACUUCCCCA
rnacentral:RNase_P_RNA from 2 species